AUAAUACUCCCUCCGUCCCAAAAAACUUGUCGAAGAAAUAGAUAAAAUUGGAUGUAUCUAUAACUAAAAUACAUCUAGAUUCAUCCAUUCCUUCGACAAGUAUUUUCGGACGGAGGGAGUACUUA
rfam:Triticum aestivum genome assembly, contig: Triticum_aestivum_CS42_TGACv1_scaffold_404405_5BL